AUGUCAUCCCUGAUAUAUGAGCUUGUGCACUUCCUUAGAAAAUUUGUUAUGAUCUUUCUUGAUGGCAUAUUCAUACAUCAUCAUCAAAUUUCCCAACAUCAAUUGCAUGAUCACAUACUCACAUUGAGCACCAAUUACAAUGUUCAUGCUUUUGAUACACCAUCCCGUUAUGAGAUCAUUUUGCACAAUGUUUGCAUUAAUCGCAUUCACCACACCUUUGUGCAUGCUAAAACUGCUUUUGUUCCCAUGAAUGCUUUGCAUAUCAUUCAAGAUCAUCUUGAUAAGCUUCAUGCGCUUUCUCACAAACAAUCUUGCCGAAUGGACUCAUACUUGAUGGUCACUUUGUGCGGGCUAACCAUUGUAUUUCCGAGUGUCAUUUGUGUUUUCUCUUUUUGCAUGAAUACCACUCUGGGGACACCUUGGAGUACUUGGAUAGCACCAUGUCUUCAACUUCGUCCAACUACAAGUCCGUCCAUGACAACCGUUUCCAUGGUGACGAGGAUCAUGAUCCGAGGUUGGAUCUUUCCCAAGGGGGGAGAUGAUGCGGAGCAUCCUACGUUCAGCCCCAUGUACACUUCGACUACUCUCCAAGCCCCAAGAGGACAUAUGAUGAGACAUCGAACAUACGCCAUUGGACACAAGGUGAACUCGCUCCUCUCUGAACCGUCACUUUCCACAUGUGAGAUAUGGCUACUACCUCCAACGUGUGUGCUAUGCAUGACCAGGAACCAAGAGGAAGGCCAUGGAACAACUACGAGCAUUGGACAAGACGACGAGGACACCAAGCGCGAGGAACAAGAGGAACAACUGCCAGGAUGCUACAACUCUCGGACGUCCGACGACCUCCGGACGACCAACGAUCUCCGGACGUCCGACGCCUGGAGACUCCACCAGCUAGAUCGACUCCAGCCGAGGCAUCCUACAGUGCACGGACGACCGCCAGACACCGGACGUCCGACACUCAUCAGCGCCCGGACGUCUGACACCGACCGAACAUCCGACACUUCCAGACCAGAGCCAAAACAUCGGAAGUUCGAAGACUUCCGGACGACCAGACGCCCAUGA
rnacentral:rRNA from 1 species